rnacentral:rRNA from 1 species
AUUGAACGCUGGCGGCAUGCCUUACACAUGCAAGUCGAACGGCAGCGGACCUUCGGGUGCCGGCGAGUGGCGAACGGGUGAGUAAAGUAUCGGAACGUACCUUUCAGUGGGGGGAUAACGUAGCGAAAGUUACGCUAAUACCGCAUAUUCUGUGAGCAGGAAAGCAGGGGAUCGCAAGACCUUGCGCUGAUUGAGCGGCCGAUAUCAGAUUAGCUAGUUGGUGAGGUAAAGGCUCACCAAGGCGACGAUCUGUAGCGGGUCUGAGAGGAUGAUCCGCCACACUGGAACUGAGACACGGUCCAGACUCCUACGGGAGGCAGCAGUGGGGAAUUUUGGACAAUGGGGGCAACCCUGAUCCAGCCAUGCCGCGUGAGUGAAGAAGGCCUUCGGGUUGUAAAGCUCUUUCGGCCGGGAAGAAAUCGCUUAGGCUAAUAUCCUGAGUGGAUGACGGUACCGGAAUAAGAAGCACCGGCUAACUACGUGCCAGCAGCCGCCGUAAGAC